AACAGAUUCAGCUCAGCUCAGUAGCACAUGGCUGAUGCUGUAAACUGUUUCCCUUACAAGGCUAAAUUAAUAAAGCAGAUUGAGUGAGGAUCAUCGAUCUCCUUUGAGGGUGUCGAGCUACAGGAGGAAUGUGGACAGGUGUUUCCCAUCUUCUGAUCGCGGUGUACGCUACUUAAGCCGUGGCUGCCUGCUACUCGUCGCCUGAGUGUUGAGCCUAUGUGGUAUCAGUAACCUUGAUGUCCAUCGAUCCCUUAACUAUUCCUCGAGCGCUUGGAGCCUUUUGGAUUACCUGUCUGGAAUUCUACGUACACUCCUGGACUGAGCAAUCUUCACCUUUUACUGGAUCUGUGCUACAUUACGACAAGCGUACUUCUCCUGCAGACCUGUCCACCCUCCUACGUAACUCCUGCUUCACCUUCCGCUCGCUUUCCAUAGAAAGCACUUUUCGCUGUGAGCUCUACUUCAGUUCUCCUAAACCCCGUCUUCCCUGGCGGAUUCCGUUCACUCUCUAUUGGAGAGACCAGAUCCCUGUCAUCCCUGUGUAGAAUUUAGAAAUAAUAAACUUCUUUUCACCGUU